rnacentral:rRNA from 1 species
UACGUAGGGGGCGAGCGUUGUCCGGAAUGACUGGGCGUAAAGGGUGCGUAGGCGGCCCGAGAGGUCCUGGGUGAAAGGCCCCGGCUCAACCGGGGAGGGCCCCAGGAAACCGGCGGGCUAGAGGGCUGGAGAGGGCCGCGGAAAUCCCGGUGUAGCGGUGAAAUGCGUAGAUAUUGGGAGGAACACCGGUGGCGAAGGCGGCCCCCUGGACCGGAACUGACGCUGAGGCGCGAAAGCGUGGGUAGCAAACGGG